rnacentral:lncRNA from 1 species
AAUUAUACUGGUAAAAGUACAGAGAUUGUGCUUGAAGAUUGGGAUUAGGAGUACAUCGACUCCUAUAACUGUGAGUAAACUUAUUAUUGUCUUAAUUAUCUAAAGUAGUUUUAUACAAUUGUGUGAUUUUAUAGAAAAUGGGUUUAAAUGGUAAAUUGCUAUGUUUUAGGAGAAAUUGUGAUUUUAUAAAAUGAUUUUAUCAAUUUUACGAAAAAUUGAAUACUGGUUUUGAAAUUAGAGUAAUUAGAGACUGCCUGCUUGUGUUUUAAAUUGUGUUUUAAAUUAUAUGGCUUAUAGCAAUAUGUUAGCAUGAAUGGCAAAUUCGGUAUUUGAAUCAAAAUUAUAUGUACUAUGUAUUCAGCCUUGAGAGGCUAGAUUGCGAUAAAUUGCCAUGUCAUGCAGAUAAAGUUUUUAUAAAUCAGGUGGUAGAUAAAAUAAUCCAUAAGCCCUGCAGUGGAGGUUCUGUGGACCAGCCUAAGAAAGGGGGCACAGAAUCAGAUAUACCUUACCUCGAUCGGAGAGCCGUGUGGAGGGUAUCUCUGGAGGUAAAGAUUUAAGUGCACUUCACGUGGACCACCGCGUGAGAGUGAGACUCAGCCAACGCCAAGGCAUGGCUAGAAUUUCGGAUGUAAAGACAUUUAACAGCCUUGGUGGUCUCAGUCAAAUGCCUAGGCCAAUGCAUCCCGAGAAUGAUUUUGACAGGAGCCAAGUUUUGUGAGAUAUAUAAGCCAUGUUGAUUAAUUGAGUAAACUGAAUAUUCAUGUUAUGAAACAUAUAUUGGAAAAGAAUAUUUUAAUUCGUCUCCAUUUACUCGCCUUUAGAUAGUUUAAAUGGUGUAUGUUUACUCACUGAGAUUUUAUAAUCUCACCACCCUCAUUUCCUC